rnacentral:lncRNA from 10 species
CUUUCAGAGCGCACCCUGUGUUCGUCUCGUGUCGCUGCACGGCGUGAGGGUCUCGCUCUGUUACUCAGGCUGGAGUGCAGUGGCACACUGCAGCCUCAACCUCCCGGGCUCAAGCGAUCCUCCAAUCUCAGCCUCCCAAGUAGCUGGGACUACAGGAGGGAUCCUCUCGCUUCAGCCUUCUGAGUAGCUGGGAUUACAGGCGCACGCCACCAUGCCUGCCUAAUUUUUGUAUUUUUAGUAGAGACAGGGUUUCUCCAUGUUGCCCAGGCUGGUCUCGAACUCCUGGGCUCAAGUGAUCC